UUCCGUAGGUGAACCUGCGGAAUGAUCAUUGUAGAACCUGCAUGGUAGAACGACCAGAGAAUCGAUUUCAACGUCAGGGGUCGGCAGGCCGUCGCGCUCGGCAUCCCCUUAUCCCGGAAGUAUGUUUUUGGGUGUACAAGCGAACACCAACGCGUAUUACGCCAAGGAACUCGAACGAAAGAGCGUGCUUCUGCAACCUCGAGAAUGAUGCGCGUGCGAGUGCGUCAUCUUUAGUACAUCAAAACAACUCUCAGCAACGGAUAUCUCGACUCUCGCAUCGAUGAAGAAUGUAGCGAAAUGCGAUACUUGGUGUGAAUUGUAGAAUCCCAUGAACCAUCGAGUCUUUGAACGCAAGAUAAGCCCAAAGUCGUUAAGCCGAAGGCACGCCUGCCUGGGCAUCACACACCGUUGCCUCCCCUCGCGUCCCUCGAAAGCAUCAGGAGGACAGACGAUGGCCUUCCAUGCAUCACCCCGUGCGGUUGGCCCAAAUACCGAGUCUUAGAUAAGAAACGCCACAAUAAUUUAUGGUUGUUGAACCUUGAUUGCCUAUUGUGUGCUUUCAUCACGCUUCGAGCGACUUGCGACGCUCGCUGCUUUGCUUCGACAGAGCUUUCAACGCUACCCCAGGUCAAGUAGGGUUACCCGCUGAGUUUAACAUAUCAAUAAGCGGAGGAAA
rnacentral:rRNA from 1 species